GGCUCUUAGCUCAGUUGGUAGAGCAUCUGCUGUGAAUGAAGAAGGCCCCAGGUACAAUCCCCAGCUAGGGCUA